rnacentral:rRNA from 1 species
GGAUAACCUGCCCUUAGGACUGGCAUAACCCCGGGAAACUGGGGAUAAUUCCGGAUAGUUCAUGGUAGCUGGAAUGCUCCAUGAUCGAAAGCUAUUGCGCCUAAGGAUGGGUCUGCGGUCUAUCAGGUAGUAGUGGGUGUAAUGUACCUACUAGCCGACGACGGAUACGGGUUGUGGGAGCAAGAGCCCGGAGAUGGAUUCUGAGACAUGAAUCCAGGCCCUACGGGGCGCAGCAGGCGCGAAAACUUUACAAUGCGGGAAACCGCGAUAAGGGGACACCGAGUGCCAGCAUCUUAUGUUGGCUGUCCGCAUGUAUAAAUCACAUGUGUUAGCAAGGGCCGGGCAAGACCGGUGCCAGCCGCCGCGGUAACACCGGCGGCCCGAGUGGUGGCCACUAUUAUUGGGUCUAAAGGGUCCGUAGCCGGUUUGGUCAGUCUUCCGGGAAAUCUGACGGCUUAACCGUUAGGCUUUCGGGGGAUACUACCAGGCUUGGGACCGGGAGAGGUAAGAGGUACUACGGGGGUAGGAGUGAAAUCUUGUAAUCCUCGUGGGACCACCAGUGGCGAAGGCGUCUUACCAGAACGGGUCCGACGGUGAGGGACGAAAGCUGGGGGCACGAACCGGAUUAGAUACCCGGGUAGUCCCAGCCGUAAACUAUGCUCGCUAGGUGUCAGGGACGGUGCGACCGUUUCUGGUGCCGCAGGGAAGCCGUGAAGCGAGCCACCUGGGAAGUACGGUCGCAAAGGCUGAAACUUAA